GAUGAACGCUGGCGGCGUGCCUAAUACAUGCAAGUCGAGCGAACAGACGAGGAGCUUGCUCCUCUGACGUUAGCGGCGGACGGGUGAGUAACACGUGGAUAACCUACCUAUAAGACUGGGAUAACUUCGGGAAACCGGAGCUAAUACCGGAUAAUAUAUUGAACCGCAUGGUUCAAUAGUGAAAGACGGUGUUGCUGUCACUUAUAGAUGGAUCCGCGCCGCAUUAGCUAGUUGGUAAGGUAACGGCUUACCAAGGCAACGAUGCGUAGCCGACCUGAGAGGGUGAUCGGCCACACUGGAACUGAGACACGGUCCAGACUCCUACGGGAGGCAGCAGUAGGGAAUCUUCCGCAAUGGGCGAAAGCUUGACGGAGCAACGCCGCGUGAGUGAUGAAGGUCUUCGGAUCGUAAAACUCUGUUAUUAGGGAAGAACAAAUGUGUAAGUAACUAUGCACGUCUUGACGGUACCUAAUCAGAAAGCCACGGCUAACUACGUG
rnacentral:rRNA from 1 species